rnacentral:rRNA from 1 species
CUCGUACCUUUUGCAUCAUGAAUUAGCCAGUAAUACUUAAGCAAAAUGAAUUUUAGUUUAAUUCCCCGAAACUAGGUGAGCUACUCCAAGACAGUCUAAUAAAAGGACGCACCCGUCUCUGUGGCAAAAGAGUGGGAAGAGCUUCGAGUAGAGGUGAUAAGCCUACCGAACCUAGUUAUAGCUGGUUGCCUGAGAAAUGAAUAGAAGUUCAGCCUCUUUCCUUCUUCCCUCCCUAUUGGCCCAGCCUAAUACCAGAGUAAGAGAAGCAAAGAGAGUUAGUCAAAGGAGGGACAGCUCCUUUGAAAAAAGACACAACUUUAACAGGUGGAUAAGGAUCAAAAUAAGCCAAGGCUAAAUGUCCCGGUGGGCCUAAAAGCAGCCACCCUGAAAGAAAGCGUUAUAGCUCAAACAUUACAUCAGCCCCCAAUCCUGAUAAAUUUUCCAAAACCCCUUAACCUACCAGGCCCUUCUAUGGCACCAUAGAAGUGAUAAUGCUAGUAUGAGUAAUAAGAGACACAACUCUCUCCAGACACAAGUGUAAAUCAGAACGGACCAACCACUGAAUAUUAACGGCCCCAAACAAAGAGGGUACUGGACCAAAAAAUAGAUCACUAGAAAACCUUCCAAUAAUAACCGUUACCCCUACACUGGAGUGCCCCUCGGAAAGACUAAAGGGAGAAGAAGGAACUCGGCAAACAUAAUUGAAGCCUCGCCUGUUUACCAAAAACAUCGCCUCUUGCCUAAAACAUAAGAGGUCCCGCCUGCCCGGUGACGAAAGUUCAACGGCCGCGGUAUUCUGACCGUGCAAAGGUAGCGCAAUCACUUGUCCUUUAAAUGAGGACCCGUAUGAAUGGCUUAACGAGGGCUUAACUGUCUCCUUCCCCUAGUCAAUGAAAUUGAUCUCCCCGUGCAGAAGCGGGGAUACACACAUAAGACGAGAAGACCCUUUGGAGCUUUAGACAACGAGCAGACCAUUAUCCCUACCCUCAAAUGAAAGAAACAAACCAAUUGGACCCUGCCCUACUGUCUUUGGUUGGGGCGACCGCGGGGAAACAAAAAACCCCCAUGUGGAACGGGAGGUCUUUCCUCCUAUAACCAAGACCCACAGCUCUAAGUUUCAGAACUUCUGACCAAAAAGAUCCGGCAAUGCCGAUCAACGAACCGAGUUACCCUAGGGAUAACAGCGCAAUCCCCUUUUAGAGCCCAUAUCGACAAGGGGGUUUACGA